AAAAAGGGUCGGUUGGCUAAAUAUGCCACUCCCGCCCUAGUUAGGUGGGUGCUGUAUGGCUAUCAAGACAUAUGGCCGACAUAAUUUGUGGAAUUUUAAUAGGGUUGGCUCGCUUUGGCCGACCCUCCA